AAGUCGUAACAAGGUUUCCGUAGGUGAACCUGCGGAAGGAUCAUUAACACGUUCCAAAACGUUCAUAUCAACACCAAACGGUUCAGUGCAACAGUACUCCCUAACAAAAGGGUCAAGCUGCUCUUCUUCUCUCCAGUGAUAGGUGAGUCCGCAAGGACUCGCGGAGAGACGUUGGGCUAGGGUCUCGCGGAGAGACUAAAUCUUUCGAACGAAGAAAUUUGUUUGGAAUUGUAUAUCUAACACUGUACAACUCUUAGCAAUGGAUAUCUUGGUUCUC
rnacentral:misc_RNA from 1 species